rnacentral:rRNA from 1 species
UACGUAGGGUGCGAGCGUUAAUCGGAAUUACUGGGCGUAAAGCGUGCGUAGGCGGUUCGUUAAGUCAGUUGUGAAAGCCCCCGGGCUCAACCUGGGAAUUGCGGUUGAAACUGGCGAACUAGAAAUCUGGCAGAGGGGGGGUGGAAUUCCACGUGUAGCAGUGAAAUGCGUAGAGAUGUGGAGGAACACCGAUGGCGAAGGCAGCCCCCUGGGCUGAGAUUGACGCUCAGGCACGAAAGCGUGGGGAGCAAACAGG